UGCCCACAAAAUGCUGAAUUGAAUGAGCA
rnacentral:piRNA from 1 species